AACAAUGGUGGCUCAGGCGGGGCUGACUUUUGUCAGGCCGGUUCCCAAGGUUGCCGGUAUUUCCACCCCCGUCUGGGCUACCACCCAU
rnacentral:antisense_RNA from 1 species